ACGUAAUUUGUCUAACCAUCCUCCAUCUUUUUUUGGACGGCCAGUCAUCUGUCAAGCGUUCAGUCUUAUUCAUUCGAGGUGGAAACAGAAAAAAUAUCCGCUCAUAGGGUGUUUUAAACGCGAAAAAUUAUCACGGAGGCAUCCGGGUACUAGGGCCGCCGCGCCCGGUCGCGCACUCGGGACGGACGAAGGGGGAAUCGGUGCAGGCACAUACAACGACUACACGCCGCUGCUGCCCACUGCACUAAAUUAGGUGCCGAUUCACCCUCCGCUCGCAAAAAGCCCGACGAUGCAGAGAGCGGGCGCGAGGCACCCGGAUGCUAGCCCGUCCACCUCCGGCGCCAUGGAGGAGCACUAUGCUACGCUCAACGAGUACCUGCAGAUGGAAUACAAGUUCCAGCCGAGACUGUGUCUGCCUAAUGAGUCCGAGAACGGGGAAGUAACAACUGGGGCCCGCGACGGCGCGGCGCAUGUCAUGCGCUGCCUCAAGGUUUGGUACGACUUGCCGACCGAGGUGCUCAUAGACGCCGUCAGCCUCUUCGACAGGUUCCUAACCAAGAUGAAGGUGCGUCCGUGCCACGUGCCGUGCAUCACGGUCGCCUGCAUGAACAUCGCCAUCGACCAGCACGCCGCUCACACUAAAGAGCCCCGCAAGGUGUCCGUCGAGGAGUUGGUGUCUAUCUCCCAGUCUGCGUGCACGGCGGGCGACGUGGCGCGCAUGUCGCGCGUGGUGGUGGACAAGCUGGCGCUCGCGCCCGGCACGCAAGCUGUCACGGCCUGGAAUUGGCUGAAACUAUUCGCUCGUUUGCUGCAACCGCACUGUCCCACCCCGCCCGAGGAAGCGGAGCUGCUGAAGCUGUUGGAGAUCGUUGUGUGCGACGCGGCCUGCGCCAACGCGCGCACCAGCGAGCUGGCCCUGGUGCUGCUGUAUCACCACAUCGAGCAGCAACUAGUGGAGAUGGCCCGGAGCGCACCGCUGCCCGACCACGCCUACCAGCUGUUCGAGAUUGGCGCCCAGCUGCAACACUACUGCAACAUGUGCGACGCGUCGCUGGUGAGCGCGCGAGGCCGCGUCCAACACGUCCUGGCGCGCUACGAGGCGCGCGCGGCCGCGCCGCAGCGCCAGCGCCUCGUGUGGCGCCUCUCCGAGCGCACGCUCAAGGUGCUGCGGCCCACGGACCGGCUGGGCUCGCUGCUGCCCACCAUCGAGGAACAACAUUACGCUGUGGAAGCCACGCCCAACAGGAACAGAUCCGGCAGCGAGAGCAGCGAGAACGAGGAGACCUCCGACUGGCCGCGCAGCCCCGUGCUGCCCGUCUACUGCGACCACUGAACACUGCACACGGCACACGGCGCACUGCACCCGCCACGCGGGGCCUCGCCCACACCGACACACAUGUAACAAUACCGACACGCCAUCCGACUACGGUUUCAAUAAACAGUACUCUCUAAAUGUGACGUUUUCAACCAAAAGGUACCACAUUGUCGCUUGUUAAUAAGGUGGAUUUCUGAUUGAAGCUAUAUGGAAAUAGCGCCUUACUGACAAGCGACAAUAAGUACCCUUUCGGUUGAAAAUGGCACAAAUAGAGUGCUAAAGUUACUAAGUUAACAGGUCACAUGGCGACCCCGCCGAUCCAUAAUGCAUGGAUUAAAUGGGGUACUUGGCGAUAUCACGCCUGUCCCCGAGCAUUUUGUGAAGACGAUGUUGUUACAUUUUUAUUAUACAUGUUUUUAAUGAUCUGAUGUUGAUGCGAGGCCCCUUGUAAUCUUAAAAUGUGACGUUUUCAACCAAAAGGUACCACAUUGUCGCUUGUCGAUAAGGUUGAUUUCGAAUAGCUAUAUAGAAAUAGCGCCUUAUUGACAACCGACAUUAAGUACCCUUUUGAUUGAGAAUGGCACAAAUAUGGCCGGCCGUGUCCUAAGUGGUCGUGUACCUGGGGGCUGCACUCUUUUAAAGCUUUCUCGAUCUUCCAUCGAUUACCUAUACGACCAGAUUGGUGAAUGACGUGUUGGUUUCCUAAAUGUGUAAAAUUAUAUUUAUUUUGAUAAUACGAUCAAAACAGUGCAGUCCCUAGUCCCUCUAUGUAGUUAUGUUUCUUGUAUUAGGCAGCUUGAAUGUCAACUGGUAGAGAGUAUGUGAUCCCAAUUUUGAAAAAUAGUCAAAACUCCGUGAUCCUGAAAGAUGUGUGUUAUGAGUAUUGAAAGUAAAUUGUGGUCUUACGAUAUUUCACUGUGUAGGCUUAUUUUUCUUUUAAUAGUAUUAAAAACGAAUGUAGUAUCAGCAUUCUGAUUUAAUGAACUAAUUAGGAAGGUUUCGAGCCGAGCGCAGUGAGGUGUCGCAAUCGCAACAGACGGCAGUAUAGUUUAGUUUAACGGUUAAGACAUGGUCGAGUGUCAGUUCAAGCGUGUUUUAACGUUUUAUAAACGAGAAUAGAUAAUUUUUCUACAAAUUUACAGUUUUAAGAUAAAAUAGUGCAAUUCAAGUCGAAAUUUGUCUUGACAUUUUUGGAGUAUUAUAGAAUUUCGUUUAUUGCAUGCGUCCCGGGCGUCGCUUAUUCCAGAGACGAACUCAUACGAGCGCAAAAAUAUACUUAAAUAUUUAGAUCUAAGUUAAACUUUCUUUUCUUAUUUUUUUUCCUUGAUUGCGCUUGUAUGGGCGAGUCGUUAUUGUAAACUAAUAUCAGUCUUUUUAAGCUUUAUUAAAUUUUAUUAUAAUGAAUAGUUUUUAUUUCGAGUAAGCGGCGACCGUGUUGCCCAUAGCUUUCUACUGUGAUGUUUUUUAUAAGAAAAUGUUGAACGAAAAUUCCAUAUUGCGUAGUUGUUAAGGAUACCCAUGCGAGAACAGCGUGAACGAAGUAACGAUAUCCACCGAAAUGAAGUGUACAUGAGCAGUAAAUUAUUUACUAUUAUAUAAUAAUUAAUAUAUUUUUCUUUAAAUACCACUGACUAACUCUCAAGUGAAGAGUUUCUAAAUUUCAUAACAUUUAAUCUAAAACGUUGGCAUUAUUAUUUUCAUUUAUAUACGUUAUGUUAUAGCUUAAUAAUAAUUCUUAUAAAAUAUUUCGAUUAUUUCAUAAUUAUGUCUAGCUAUAAACAAAUAAAUGACAAAAAAAUUACAAAUCUUUGAAAAAAUAAAAAAAAUGAUCUCAGGUAAUGUUUGCAAUCUGUCGCGAAGAAGAUAAUAAUAAUAAAAAAAAACAAAUGUGAAAGCGUGAGCGGCGUGUUUAUGGUUUGCAUUUUUCCGCUUAAAGCUUAAAGACGCACGCCGCUUGCGCUUAAAAAAAUCUUUCGUAAGCCUAGCCUUAAACAGAGUCAUGUAUCGUGUGUAGCGAGUGAGGUGAAAAUGUGUCUUAAAAAAUGUAAAAAAAAUGUCCAAAAAAUCUUAGUAGCUAGUAAAACUGUGAUUAAUUCUUAUCAAUAAUGUUUAACUUUUUGAGCAUUUUUACUCGUGCAAAAAGGCAAGAAAUAAAUAUUAAUAAGAAUUAAUAACAGACUAAUGUCUUCUUUCUAAUAAUAAUUUGUAAACACGUGACAUUGCAAUACGUUUUUCUUUAAAACAUUGUUUUUACAAAUUAUUCUCUUCUAUCAUUCUUCUGAAUAUGAUUAGCUUAAGUGUAAUUGGCAUUUUGUGUGACUGUGGAUGCAUUGGUCGGGACCUGUGUAUGCUUGAGUGUUUUGUGGUACAAUCAUGAAACGGAAAAUAUCUGAAAUCUCGAAUCAAUGAGAGAAUAAAAGUUGAGACUCUU